rnacentral:lncRNA from 1 species
AGAGCUUCAGCUGCGCAAGAAAAGAACUAGACCUAGACUCCACAAAAGCAGUAGCUGAUCUUCUCCAAAACAAAAAAGAUUACAAUUCCAAAAAAUGAGGAUGGGCUGCAUAGGAAAUGGGGCAUCGAGAAUUUGAAAUCGAAAGUAAGUUCCUCGUCAACUCAUGUGUAAACAAAUUGAGGGAGACCAGUCGUUACACAUAAUAUUACAGAUUUCAUUUUCAACAGUUGUAAAUGAAAUUGUAGAGUACAUUUAAACUAAGACAGAGUUUCUCAAUUUUGUUUUAGCCGAUUUUGGGCUCCUCUGUAAAGUCGUGCAUUUGAUUGAACGAAAUAUAAGGCUUCAACACUUACCUCUCAUUUGAUACUUUUUGUCUCGG